rnacentral:rRNA from 1 species
UUAAAGAAAGCGUAAUAGCUCACUGGUCGAGUCGGCCUGCGCGGAAGAUGUAACGGGGCUAAACCAUGCACCGAAGCUGCGGCAGCGACACUGUGUGUUGUUGGGUAGGGGAGCGUUCUGUAAGCCUGUGAAGGUGUGUCGUGAGGCAUGCUGGAGGUAUCAGAAGUGCGAAUGCUGACAUAAGUAACGAUAAAGCGGGUGAAAAGCCCGCUCGCCGGAAGACCAAGGGUUCCUGUCCAACGUUAAUCGGGGCAGGGUGAGUCGACCCCUAAGGCGAGGCCGAAAGGCGUAGUCGAUGGGAAACGGGUUAAUAUUCCCGUACUUGGUGUUACUGCGAAGGGGGGACGGAGAAGGCUAUGUUGGCCGGGCGACGGUUGUCCCGGUUUAAGCGUGUAGGUGUGUGUUCCAGGUAAAUCCGGUUCACUUUAACACUGAGGCGUGACGACGAGGCACUACGGUGCUGAAGCAACAAAUGCCCUGCUUCCAGGAAAAGCCUCUAAGCAUCAGGUAACAUCAAAUCGUACCCCAAACCGACACAGGUGGUCAGGUAGAGAAUACCAAGGCGCUUGAGAGAACUCGGGUGAAGGAACUAGGCAAAAUGGUGCCGUAACUUCGGGAGAAGGCACGCUGACACGUAGGUGAAGUGAUUUACUCAUGGAGCUGAAGUCAGUCGAAGAUACCAGCUGGCUGCAACUGUUUAUUAAAAACACAGCACUGUGCAAACACGAAAGUGGACGUAUACGGUGUGACGCCUGCCCGGUGCCGGAAGGUUAAUUGAUGGGGUCAGCGCAAGCGAAGCUCCUGAUCGAAGCCCCGGUAAACGGCGGCCGUAACUAUAACGGUCCUAAGGUAGCGAAAUUCCUUGUCGGGUAAGUUCCGACCUGCACGAAUGGCGUAAUGAUGGCCAGGCUGUCUCCACCCGAGACUCAGUGAAAUUGAACUCGCUGUGAAGAUGCAGUGUACCCGCGGCAAGACGGAAAGACCCCGUGAACCUUUACUAUAGCUUGACACUGAACAUUGAGCCUUGAUGUGUAGGAUAGGUGGGAGGCUUUGAAGUGUGGACGCCAGUCUGCAUGGAGCCGACCUUGAAAUACCACCCUUUAAUGUUUGAUGUUCUAACGUGGACCCGUUACCCGGGUUGCGGACAGUGUCUGGUGGGUAGUUUGACUGGGGCGGUCUCCUCCUAAAGAGUAACGGAGGAGCACGAAGGUUGGCUAAUCCUGGUCGGACAUCAGGAGGUUAGUGCAAUGGCAUAAGCCAGCUUGACUGCGAGCGUGACGGCGCGAGCAGGUGCGAAAGCAGGUCAUAGUGAUCCGGUGGUUCUGAAUGGAAGGGCCAUCGCUCAACGGAUAAAAGGUACUCCGGGGAUAACAGGCUGAUACCGCCCAAGAGUUCAUAUCGACGGCGGUGUUUGGCACCUCGAUGUCGGCUCAUCACAUCCUGGGGCUGAAGUAGGUCCCAAGGGUAUGGCUGUUCGCCAUUUAAAGUGGUACGCGAGCUGGGUUUAGAACGUCGUGAGACAGUUCGGUCCCUAUCUGCCGUGGGCGCUGGAGAACUGAGGGGGGCUGCUCCUAGUACGAGAGGACCGGAGUGGACGCAUCACUGGUGUUCGGGUUGUCAUGCCAAUGGCACUGCCCGGUAGCUAAAUGCGGAAGAGAUAAGUGCUGAAAGCAUCUAAGCACGAAACUUGCCCCGA